rnacentral:rRNA from 1 species
AUGCAGUUCCAGUCUGGCAACUGUGCCAAAACGUUGGCAAAAGUAGAUGGAUCUGGUGCAAAAGAUUUGUCAGUCGGCCCAAGCACAUUUGGUUUUCCACAAGAUGCUAAUCAGGAAUAUUUUAACCAGGCUUGCCAGUGCAGUUAUCCAGUUUCAACGCAAGGCUUUCCAGAUUUACCAAGCGUUCCAGAUUUUGUUCUGAAUAAUGCUUCUGCUGCACUCAGGGAAUAUCAACAAUUUGACCACUUUUUCAGACCACUUCAGCCUCUGGCACCUGAUGGAAACCAGGUGCAAAAUAGUGGCAUAAAUACCGCACAUCGCAGUAGACCUUCUAAUGCAUCCUCCUGCCUUGAUCAUGUAGAAGAAAUAACUUCUCAUGACACGGAUGGUUAUGACGACAGAGCUAUCUCAUUUGGGAGUAGCUGCAGCACAGGAAUUGCGUGUUAUCCAUAUAGUAGCCCUAUGCAAAGUGAUGACUGCAUUGCAGACACGCAGGAUGGGACCUGGGCUGCUCUUAUGCAAAUGCAACAGGCUUUGGAGGCGGCUAAUGAUGAGUGCAGUGACUUGACUUUCAAUAACACAGAACUUUCAGGUGGGAAUACCAUGCAGCAUCAAGUUGUUUGGGACAAUGGCUGUUUAGCAAGUCCGUCUUUCACCUCAAACUUUUUACCCUUCCCUGGAGAGGCUGAAACCACGGUCACAAGUACCAGCGCUAUGUUUAACUUACAUAACUCUGUUGAUCUCCCGUAUGAUAAUGAUCAAGACAUAUCAUCUUUUGAGCUCAAAGUAGCUGAACAGAAAGAGGCAACCACAAGCCAUGUUUGUGAACAUCGAGAUGAAAUGCAUUCUGCUGAACAGGGGGGAAAUCCUGGCCACGACGGAUCUUUUGAUUUGACAAUAACCCAGGACAGACAGUUCAGUUCAUUUGUUAAUGGUGCAAAUGGAUCUGUAGAUAGUGGAAUGAACCUUUAUGAUUGUGAAGAGCAAAUGGAAAUUGAUUCACUCCUAAGUUCAUUUGGAGCAUCAAGUGAUACCUUUGCACAGACAUAUGAAAUGUUACAGAAAGGUGAAAAUAUUGUUGACCUUGAAAAAAAGGCUAAAUUAGCAGAAAGCAUUUCUGCUACAUUCAUGACUAAUACUGUCCCAUAUAUUACACAAGCUGGGGUGACUGAGUCAACUGUCUCUGAUGGAUCUUCUUGGACUCAACAAUAUCAAUCUACUUCCCAGUCAUGUGGUUUAUCUUAUUCUUCAGCUUCUCAAUGGGAAACCAUGCCAGGUACUGUUUUUCCUUUAGGGGGUUGUCGAAAUGAUGUUAGUGAGUCCAAUUCAAUGACUAGCCUGGGGACAAAUGGCGAUCUCCUGUUAUCUUUUGGCCAUACUUCAAUGCAGCAGCAACAGAGUUUAUCUAGUGAUACUAAUUUGGAAUUGAUUGACAAUUUUGCUAACCCUUGUCAAGAGUUUGUGAUGGGUAUGGAUGGUCAAAGGAGCCACCUAUACCGUGAUGAAGCACUGGCAACCCAAGGUGUAUGGGCGGCACAUCCUGAUACGAUGGUACACUCUUCAACUGAUACUGGACGUUCAGAUGUACAGCUGCCCAUGACACAGACUACUACUGUUCCGCUGCCUGCUCCGAGAUUGUCCAAGGGGCCCAACUCAUUAUUUAUUGGAACAGAGCUUAAGAAGGUUGACCAAAAUCAUUCAGAUAUGCAGCUUCCCUUGACACAGACUAGUCAUGUUCAGCUGCCUGCUAUGAACUUGUCCGAGUACCCGACCUCGUCAUUUGUUGGAGGAACAAAGCUUAAGAAAGUUGACAAACAUGAUUCGUAUAUGCAGCUUCCCAUGACACAUGCUAGUCAUGUUCCGCUGCCUGCUACGAGCUUGUCCGAGGAUCCGAAGUCAUCAUUUAUUGGAGGAACAGAGCUUAAGGAAGUUGGCAAACAUGAUUCAGAUAUGCCGCUUCCCAUGACACAGGCUAGUCAUGUUCCGCUGCCUGCUGUGCGCUUAUCUGAGGACACGAAAUCAUCAUUUAUCGCAGGAGCAGAGCUUAAGGAAGUUGACAAACAUGAUUCAGAUACACCGCUUCCCAUGGCACAGGCUAGUCAUGUUCCGCUGCCUACCAUGAGCUUACCUGAGGAUACGAAAUCGUCAUUUAUUGGAGGAACAGAGCUUAAGGAAGUUGACAAACAUGAUUCAGAUAUGCAGCCUCCCAUAACACCGGCUAGUCAUGCUCCACUGCCUGCUGUGAGCUUGUCCGAGGACCCAAAAUCAUCAUUUACUGGAGGUACAGAGCUUAAGGAAGUUGGCAAACAUGAUUCAGAUAUGCAGCAUCCCAUGACACCUGCUAGUCAUGUUCUGCUGCCUUCUGUGAGCAUGUCCAGGGAUCCAAAAUCAUCAUUUACCGGAGGUACAGAGCUUAAGGAAGUUGGCAAACAUGAUUCAGAUAUGCAGCUUUCCAUGACGCAGACUGUUCAUGUUCAUCUGCCUACUCCGAGCUUGUCCAAGGACUCCGAGUCAUCAUUUGUUGGAGGAACAGAGCUUAAGGAAGUCGACAAACAUGAUUCAGAUAUGCAGCCUCCUAGGACGCAGGCUAGUCAUGUUCCGCUGCCUUCUGUGAACAUGUCCAAGGAUCCAAAAUCAUCAUUUACCGGAGGUACAGAGCUUAAGGAAGUUGGCAAACAUGAUUCAGAUAUGCAGCUUUCCAUGACGCAGACUGUUCAUGUUCAUCUGCCUACUCCGAGCUUGUCCAAGGACUCCGAGUCAUCAUUUGUUGGAGGAACAGAGCUUGAGGAAGUCGACAAACAUGAUUCAGAUAUGCAGCCUCCUAGGACGCAGGCUAGUCAUGUUCCGCUGCCUGCUGUGAGCUUGUCUGAGGACCCGAACUCAUCCUUUAUUGGAGGUACAGAGCUUAAGGAAGUCGGCAAACAUGAUUCAGAUAUUCAGCUUCCCAUCACACAGACUGUUUGUGUUCAGCUGCCUGCUAUGAGCUUAUCCGAGGAUCCGAAAUCAUCAUUUAUCAAAGGAACAGAGCUUAAGGAAGUUGACAAAGAUGAUUCAGAUAUACCGCUUCCCGUGGCACAGGCUAGGCAUGUUCCACUGCCUACCAUGAGCUUACCUGAGGACACGAAAUCGUCAUUUAUUGGAGGAACAGAGCUUAAGGAAGUUGACAAACAUGAUUCAGAUAUGCAGCCUCCCAUAACACCGGCUAGUCAUGUUCCACUGCCUGCUGUGAGCUUGUCCGAGGACCCAAAAUCAUCAUUUACUGGAGGUACAGAGCUUAAGGAAGUUGCCAAACAUGAUUCAGAUAUGCAGCUUCCCAUGACGCAGACUGUUCGUCUUCGGCUGCAUGCUCCGAGCAUGUCCAAGGACUCUGAGUUGUCAUUUGUUGGAGGAACAGAGCUUAAGGAAGUCGACAAACAUGAUUCAGAUAUGCAGCCUCCCAUGACGCAGGCUAGUCUUGUUCCGCUGCCUGCUGUGAGCUUGUCCGAGGACCCGAACUCAUCCUUUAUUGGAGGUACAGAGCUUAAGCAAGUCGACAAACAUGAUUCAGAUAUGCAGCCUCCCAUGACGCAGACUAGUCUUGUUCCGCUGCCUGCUGUGAGCUUGUCCGAGGACCCUAACUCAUCCUUUAUUGGAGGUACAGAGCUUAAGGAAGUUGGCAAACAUGAUUCAGAUAUUCAGCCUCCCAUGACACAGACUGUUCGUGUUCAGCUGCCUGCGAUGAGCUUAUCCGAGGAUCCAAAAUCAUCAUUUAUCAAAGGAACAGAGCUUAAGGAAGUUGACAAACAUGAUUUGGGUAUACCGCUUCCCAUGGCACAGGCUGGUCUUGUUCCGCUGCCUACCGUGAGCUUACCCGAGGACACGAAAUCCUCAUUUAUUGGAGGAACAGAGCUUAAGGAAGUUGACAAACAUGAUUCAGAUAUGCAACCUCCCAUAACACCGGCUAUUCAUGUUCUGCUGCCUGCUGUGAGCUUGUCCGAGGACCCGAAAUCAUCAUUUACUGGAGGUACAGAGCUUAAGGAAGUUGGCAAACAUGAUUCAGAUAUGCAGCUUCCCAUGACGCACACUGUUCGUGUUCAGCUGCCUGCUCCGAGCUUGUCGAAGGACCCCGACUCGGCAUUUGUUGGAAGAACAGAGCUUAAGAAGGUUGGCCACAUUGGAUAUCCUCAGCAAAGUAUCCUGCUCUCAGCAAGCAAACCUUCACACCCAAUCGGUUUGCCAGUUAUCAAGUUUGAUGACGAGGUGGGUUCACGGUCAAAGAAGCGGAAAAGGUCAACAGAAGAUGUUUUAGCAUCGCAUGCACAAGCCAUGUUCGAGGGUGGGAGACUGCAAUGUAGAAGGACACCUGAGUUGGCUUGGGCUGAUGCCACAUUGACUGAGAAGGUUGACGGUGAAAAAGCAACGUCGGAAAAUAGCACCUUCGUUUCUCGAGCUCAGAGAAGACUUACUUUAACGACCAGCUUGAUUCAGUGUCUCCUUCCUGCUCUGUCAGCGAGACUUCUUGCAGCAAAAGUUGCUGAUUGCGGUGAAGCCAUUGUGUACCACAUUUGUAAACUGGUGCUCAGUGAUAUGUCUGACCCAGUUCAAUCUUUUGUCAGCGACACCAACAACUUCAUGCAAAGUGAAAACAUGCCACCGAACGAGACAAGCACCUCCGGAAAGGAGGACCGUAAACUCUUAUCUGAAGUUCUGGAAACCUUCGAUGUGAGGCUUGGCGGGCUACAAAGCUCCUUGUCAAGAAUCGAGAAUAUGCCCAGCUUCCAAGACUACGCGGCAGCGCUACACCAAAUCGAGCAGUGGUCCAUGACUCAUCAGUUCAUAAAGCUGAACGAAUACAAGAGAUUGCAUGCCGGCUACGGCUCGGGUCCUAAAAGGCCUCUUUGCGUCGGAGCCAUCCGGAAGCAUGCCGGAGGAUCUUCCGCGCCGGUCUCAGAGCUGAAAAGGAUUCGGUGUCGCUCACUCAAGUAG